UACGGAGGGUGCAAGCGUUAGUCGGAAUUACUGGGCGUAAAGGGUGCGUAGGCGGGAAUAUAAGUCAUAUGUGAAAUUCCGAGGCUCAACCUCGGAGCUGCAUCUGAAACUAUAUUUCUUGAGGGAUGGCGGAGAAAAUGGAAUUCCACGUGUAGCGGUGAAAUGCGUAGAUAUGUGGAAGAACACCUGUGGCGAAAGCGGUUUUCUAGCUUCCCCCUGACGCUGAGGCACGAAAGCAAGGGGAUCAAACAGG
rnacentral:rRNA from 1 species